rnacentral:rRNA from 1 species
UAAGGAAUAUUGCGCAAUGGGCGAAAGCCUGACGCAGCGACGCCGCGUGGGGGAUGAAGGUCUUCGGAUUGUAAACCCCUUUCGGGAGGGAAGAUGGAAUGGGGUAACCCAUUCGGACGGUACCUCCAGAAGCAGCCACGGCUAACUUCGUGCCAGCAGCCGCGGUAAUACGAAGGUGGCAAGCGUUAUUCGGAUUUACUGGGCGUACAGGGAGCGUAGGCGGUUCGGUAAGCCCUCUGUGAAAUCUUCAGGCUUAACCUGGAAAAGUCGGGGGGGACUGCCGGGCUAGAGGACGGGAGAGGAGCGCGGAAUUCCCGGUGUAGCGGUGAAAUGCGUAGAGAUCGGGAGGAAGGCCGGUGGCGAAGGCGGCGCUCUGGAACGUUUCUGACGCUGAGGCUCGAAAGCGUGGGGAGCAAACAGGAUUAGAUACCCUGGUAGUCCACGCCUUAAACUAUGAAUACUAAGUGUCGGCGGGUUACCGCCGGUGCCGCAGCUAACGCAUUAAGUAUUCCGCCUGGGAAGUACGGCCGCAAGGUUG